CUGCGAAUGGCUCAUUAAAUCAGUUAUCGUUUAUUUGAUAGUACCUUACUACUUGGAUAACCGUGGUAAUUCUAGAGCUAAUACAUGCUAAAAACCCCGACUUCGGGAGGGGUGUAUUUAUUAGAUAAAAAACCAACGCCCUUCGGGGCUCUUUGGUGAUUCAUGAUAACUUAACGGAUCGCAUGGCCUUGCGCCGGCGACGGUUCAUUCAAAUUUCUGCCCUAUCAACUUUCGAUGGUAAGGUAUUGGCUUACCAUGGUUUCAACGGGUAACGGGGAAUUAGGGUUCGGUUCCGGAGAGGGAGCCUGAGAAACGGCUACCACAUCCAAGGAAGGCAGCAGGCGCGCAAAUUACCCAAUCCCGACACGGGGAGGUAGUGACAAUAAAUACUGAUACAGGGCUCUUUUGGGUCUUGUAAUUGGAAUGAGUACAAUUUAAACCCCUUAACGAGGAACAAUUGGAGGGCAAGUCUGGUGCCAGCAGCCGCGGUAAUUCCAGCUCCAAUAGCGUAUAUUAAAGUUGUUGCAGUUAAAAAGCUCGUAGUUGAACCUUGGGCCUGGCUGGCCGGUCCGCCUCACCGCGUGUACUGGUCCGGCCGGGCCUUUCCUUCUGGAGAGCCGCAUGCCCUUCACUGGGUGUGUUGGGGAACCAGGACUUUUACUUUGAAAAAAUUAGAGUGUUCAAAGCAGGCCUUUGCUCGAAUACAUUAGCAUGGAAUAAUAGAAUAGGACGUGCGGUCCUAUUUUGUUGGUUUCUAGGACCGCCGUAAUGAUUAAUAGGGAUAGUCGGGGGCAUCAGUAUUCAAUUGUCAGAGGUGAAAUUCUUGGAUUUAUUGAAGACUAACUACUGCGAAAGCAUUUGCCAAGGAUGUUUUCAUUAAUCAGUGAACGAAAGUUAGGGGAUCGAAGACGAUCAGAUACCGUCGUAGUCUUAACCGUAAACUAUGCCGACUAGGGAUCGGGCGAUGUUACUAUUUUGACUCGCUCGGCACCUUACGAG
rnacentral:rRNA from 1 species